rnacentral:rRNA from 1 species
AUUGAACGCUGGCGGCAUGCUUUACACAUGCAAGUCGAACGGUAACAGGUUAAGCUGACGAGUGGCGAACGGGUGAGUAAUGCAUCGGAACGUGCCCGGUCGUGGGGGAUAACGCAGCGAAAGCUGCGCUAAUACCGCAUACGAUCUGAGGAUGAAAGCGGGGGACCGUAAGGCCUCGCGCGAUCGGAGCGGCCGAUGUCAGAUUAGGUAGUUGGUGGGGUAAAGGCUCACCAAGCCGACGAUCUGUAGCUGGCCUGAGAGGACGACCAGCCACACGGGGACUGAGACACGGCCCAGAAUCCUACGGGAGGCAGCAGUGGGGAAUUUUGGACAAUGGGCGCAAGCCUGAUCCAGCAAUGCCGCGUGCAGGAAGAAGGCCUUCGGGUUGUAAACUGCUUUUGUACGGAGCGAAAAGGCUCUCUCUAAUACAGGGGGCUCAUGACGGUACCGUAAGAAUAAGCACCGGCUAACUACGUGCCAGCCGCCGCAGUAA